UACGUAGGGGGCGAGCGUUGUCCGGAUUUAUUGGGCGUAAAGAGCUCGUAGGCGGCUUGGCAAGUCGGGUGUGAACCUCCAGGCUCAACCUGGAGACGCCACUCGAUACUGCCAUGGCUAGAGUCCGGUAGGGGACCACGGAAUUCCUGGUGUAGCGGUGAAAUGCGCAGAUAUCGGGAAGAACACCCGUGGCGAAGGCGGCUACUCGUCGGGACGGUACUGGACGCGAU
rnacentral:rRNA from 1 species